UUUGUUUAAAUGAUGACACAAUCACAAC
rnacentral:sRNA from 1 species